UACGGAGGGUGCAAGCGUUGCUCGGAAUUAUUGGGCGUAAAGGGUAGGUAGGUGGUCUCAUUUGUCUGGGGUGAAAUCCUUGAGCUUAACUCAAGAAGUGCCCCAGAAACGGUGAGACUCGAGUCCUGGAGAGGUGAGCGGAAUUCCCGGUGUAGCGGUGAAAUGCGUAGAGAUCGGGAGGAACACCAGAGGCGAAGGCGGCUCACUGGACAGGCACUGACACUCAACUACGAAAGCGUGGGGAGCAAACAG
rnacentral:rRNA from 1 species